rnacentral:lncRNA from 1 species
UCUAUGGAACUUCCCAAAUAAGGACUUGAUCCUGCCCUCAUUGAAAUCAAUGUUAAAGCUCCCAUUGAGUUCAGUGGGAGAGGAUCAAGUACCAAAUCAGAGUGACUGUGGGAGCUUUCAGCCUUUGUGUGAAAGCACCACAUUUUUGUUUUCAUCCUACAGAAGAUGACAGGAAGGAGGAGGAUGACUUAAUGAUCCAGUGAGUAUAAGCCACAUUGUUUUAAAAUAUGUUUAAAAUAUUAAACAGUUUUCCAGAGACAUCCUGACUGAAGAACAACACUUGUACAGUCAGAAUGGUUAAAUUACAAAGUGAAAACAGGUACAUCAGUAAUAAGGACUCAGUGCAUUACUGAUGGAAAGUUCCUAAUAAAAUUUUUCUCACUGUCA